CUACGGGACGCAGCAGUCGAGAAUCUUCGGCAAUGGACGAAAGUCUGACCGAGCGACGCCGCGUGCGGGAUGAAGGCCUUCGGGUUGUAAACCGCUGUCAGUUGGGAGGAAAGCCAAGGGCUCACUCUUGGUUUGACCUAUCUUCAGAGGAAGUACGGGCUAAGUUCGUGCCAGCAGCCGCGGUAAGACGAACCGUACAAACGUUAUUCGGAAUCACUGGGCUUAAAGGGUGCGUAGGCGGCCAAGUAAGUAGGGUGUGAAAUCCCACGGCUCAACCGUGGAACUGCGCUCUAUACUGCUUGGCUAGAGGAAGACAGAGGCGAGCGGAACUGAUGGUGGAGCGGUGAAAUGCGUUGAUAUCAUCAGGAACACCAGUUGCGAAAGCGGCUCGCUGGGUCUUUUCUGACGCUCAGGCACGAAAGCUAGGGGAGCGAACGGGAUUAGAUACCCUCGUAGUC
rnacentral:rRNA from 1 species